rnacentral:tRNA from 1 species
GGUGAUAUAACUUAGUGGUAUAGGGCCUGCCUUAGCAAAUACAAGGUCCUGAGUUCAAAUCCCAUUAUCGCCA